GUUGCAUACUCCUAGCUCUCGCCGAGUUUGACAAUUUUUGUCAGUUAAUUCAGAUUAUUCAGUUAGUGCAGUUCAGUCAGUUAGUGUUCGUCAGUCUGUUAGCUAAUUCAGUUUCAUUCAGAGUUAGCAGUGAGCGCACGCCGGAAAUAGCUGGACGUGUGCGCGUCUUUCGGAGCUCACCUGACGCACGCUGCGUUCGUGCGGGGUGGAGCGCGUCGUGCGCGGCAAGAACGUGGUCGUGGGAUGGCACGGCUGUAGAAGCGUUCGUGCCGUGCGUUUCGGCCUUCUUUGUUUUAGAUCAGAUAAGUCCUUCGAUAUAUGAAUAAACGGGUAACAGAAAAGCGCGGCCAGUUGGGCAGCACCAAAAACAACUCUCCACGAGUCCUCGCGCAUGUGUACUGCGUUCUCAGGAUUCAUCACCGGCGAUCAUCUCCGAUCUAGUCCAACAAUUGGUAUCAGAACCAAGUUGACUGAAGAAGCAUGUCGGCGUAUGGCCGACGCGAUGACGGAGGAGGCAGAAGGCGCUCACUGUCGCCGGUCUUCCCUCGCGGACGACGCAGUGGCAGGGAGAUCAUCGUCGAGCGCAUCAUCGAGCGGAGCUCGACGGCGGCCAUCUACCCCAUGCUCACGAAAACCAACUAUGCCGAGUGGUCACUUGUGAUGCAGGUAAAUCUCCAAGCACAAUGCCUCUGGGAGGCAAUGGACCCGGGAACCGACAACUUCCGCGACGACCGGAACGCGCUGGCGGCGCUUCUUCGCGCAGUACCGCCCGAAAUGCAGGCUGGGCUUGCUCGGAAGGCGACUGCGAAGGAGGCCUGGGACUCCAUCAAGAGCAUCCGUGUGGGCGCGGAGCGUGUCAAGGAGGCAAAUGCAGAUCGAUUGCGAAAGGAGUUCGCUGAUCUCGUCUUCAAGCCCGGCGAGUCGGUGGAAGACUUUGCUGCUCGGGCAAACACCUUGGCGAACCAGCUGAGGGUGGUCGGCGACGACAUCGCCGAGAAGGAGGUUGUGAAGAAACUGCUCCACGCAGCCCCGACUAAUCUCGAACAAAUCGCAUUGUCGAUUGAGACCUUACUCGAUCUCAAUGACAUUACGGUUGAAGAGGUGGCUGGGAGGCUGCGUGCGGUGGAGCAGAGGAAGACGACGAUUGCGGCCCCGAACAAGGACGGUGGAGGCCGUCUGCUCCUCACCGAGGAGGAAUGGCGCGAAAGGGCAAAGAUGAAGGACCAUGGCGGCAAGGCAGCAUCUAGCUCUGGCUGGAAACAGGCCUCCGGGCGUGGACGUGGCCGAGGGCGCGGUCGUUCACGAGGAAGAGGCCAAGGUAGAGGUGGUGCACGCAAAGACGACGAGUGUCUGAGCUGCGGCAAACUGGGGCAUUGGGCUCGCGAUUGUCGUAGCAAGAAGAAGGCGGAGCAGGCACACGCUGCUCAGGCGCAGGACGUCGAGGGCGAGGAGGAGGAUUCCGCCCUCCUCAUGGCCACGACCGAGAUCUCCAUGUCAGGCGGUUCACUUGCUUCAGAAGAACCAGGCACACUGGCACUUCGCCGUGUGCAUCUCCUGGAAGCCAAGAUCAUCCCUCGACUCGACGCACCGGAGGAACGCGACGAGUGCAGCUGGGUACUCGACACGGGUGCGUCCAACCACAUGACCGGCAUCCGAUCCCUCUUCUCCGAGAUCGACAAAGGGGUCGGCGGGUCUGUGCGAUUCGGCGAUGGCUCCACUGUGGCAAUCGAGGGUCGCGGCACCAUUGUGUUUAUGUGCAAGAAUGGAGAGCAGCGGGCGCUGACCGGGGUCUACUACAUUCCCCGACUCACGGCCAAUAUCAUAAGUCUUGGCCAGAUGGACGAGGGAGGCUGCCGAGUCGACAUCAACCACGGCAUCCUCCGCAUCUUCGAUCGCAAGAAGAAGCUUCUGGUACGUGUGAGACGUACAGCAGGACGAAUUUACCAGCUCCAAGCGACCAUCGGGAGGCCUCUCUGCUUCGCGGCGCACAGCUCCGAGGUCUCAUGGCUGUGGCAUGGUCGCUUCGGCCACCUCGGCUUCGACAAUCUCCGGAAGCUGGCUCGGGAGGAAAUGGUCCGGGGGUUGCCAACCCUGGACCCUGUUGAUGGUGUCUGCGACGCAUGCCUUGCCGGGAAACAAAGGCGCUCACCGUUCCCUGUCCAGGCUCGACGUCGCGCAGCACAAGUACUCGAUCUGGUCCAUGGGGAUCUGUGUGGACCAAUCUCGCCGUCCACACCAAGUGGGAACAGGUAUUUCCUACUGUUGGUAGAUGAUAAAAGUAGAUAUAUGUGGGUCAAGCUUCUUGCCAGAAAAGACGAGGCCGCCUCGGCGAUCAAAAAUUUUCAGUCAGCUGUUGAGGUCGAAACCGGACGCCAUCUCAAGGUGCUUCGGACCGAUCGUGGAGGGGAGUUCACCUCAGUGGAGUUUGGGCAAUACUGCGCCAGCCGCGGUGUCCAACGUCAACUCACUGCUCCAUACUCGCCGCAGCAAAACGGAGUGGUGGAGCGGCGCAACCAAAGUGUUGUGUCGAUGGCGCGCUGUAUGCUCAAGUCGAAGGGUCUCCCUGGGCACUUCUGGGGUGAGGCAGUCUCCACUGCCGUCUUCAUCAUCAAUCGAUCGCCAACUCGAGCACUCUCUGGACAAACCCCCUACGAGGCGUGGUUUGGAGAGCGCCCACCGGUGCACUUCAUGCGCAUCUUUGGCUGCGUCGCCCACGUCAAGAACACCCGUCCAGGACUGAAGAAGCUUGAUGAUAGAAGCACACCAACCAUCUUCGUCGGCUACGAACAAGGUUCUAAGGCGUACAGGUGUUAUGAUCCACAUGCCGGUCGCGUCGUGGUGUCUCGCGACGUCGUGUUCGACGAGGGCGCGAAGUGGACCUGGGACAGACGUCUUGAAGAUGCUGUGGAUGAUGAUGUCCCGUUCAUGGUGGAAGACGAAGUGCAUUCUGCUCCACCGAUUUCAUCACGCGCGACGACGCCUGCUCCGACUCAAGCUACAACGACGUCGCUGUCACCAGCUUCACCGGCGACUGCCCAACCUGCUGCGUCGCCUGCCUCGUCAGCAGAGUUUGUGUCACCCCCCACAGGCUUUGAAGGGGUGCUCGACGCUGACCAUGACGAGGAUGCGCCGUUGCGGUUCCGGGUGAUUGAUACAGUCCUUGGGCCAGCUUCACCUCCAGGAUUGGCACCCAGAGUACUUGACGAGGAACUAAUGUUAACGACAGCCGAUGAACCAACUUCUUUUGCAGAAGCAGAGCAGGAGGAGUGCUGGCGCCAGGCGAUGAAAGAGGAGAUGAAAUCGAUUGAAGCCAAUGGCACCUGGGAGCUUGCCACACUCCCCACUGGGCACCGAGCUAUCGGGCUCAAGUGGGUCUUCAAGGUGAAGCGCGACGGGAGUGGCAAAGUCGUCCGCCACAAAGCUCGUCUCGUCGCAAAGGGCUAUGUUCAGCGGGCCGGAAUUGACUUUGAUGAAGUGUUCGCUCCCGUGGCGAGGAUUGAGUCCGUGCGAGUACUGCUUGCACUGGCUGCUCAUCACGGAUGGGAGGUCCACCACAUGGAUGUAAAAAGCGCCUUUCUGAAUGGGGACUUGAAGGAACAGGUGUUUGUGGCACAGCCCCCCGGAUUUGUGGUCGACGGCAAACCUGACAAAGUGCUGCGUCUUCAUAAGGCGCUGUACGGUCUUCGGCAGGCACCAAGGGCCUGGAAUGCUAAGCUGGACGCCGCCAUGGCUCAGCUGAGUUUCCAGAGGAGCAGGUCUGAGCAUGGCGUCUACACCCGUUCCAGUAGCACGUCGAGGUUGGUGGUUGGAGUUUAUGUUGACGAUCUAAUCAUUUCUGGUUCGAGCUCCAAAGUGAUCGCGGCGUUCAAGCAGGAGAUGAGGAGCAUCUUCUCCAUGAGUGAUCUCGGUCUCCUCUCCUACUACCUUGGGAUUGAGGUGAGCCAGAAUGCACAUGGAAUCACUCUCUGUCAAGCAGCCUAUGCAAGGAAACUUCUGGAACGUUGUGGCAUGGCAAGCUGUAACUCGAGCUCAACCCCGAUGGAAGAAAGGCUGAAGUUAAGCAAGCACAGUAACUCACCCGCUGUGAACGCCACGGAGUAUAGGUGCAUGAUCGGUGGUCUGCGAUACCUGGUGAACACGCGGCCGGAUCUUGCCUUCUCGGUGGGCUAUUUAAGUCGCUUUAUGGAGGCACCACAUCAAGAUCAUCUGAUGGCAGUGAAACGUGUCCUCAGGUAUGUAGCUGGAACCUGUGAGCAUGGCAUUCACUACAAGAAGAGCAGGGAAGGACAAGCUCAAUUGGUCGGCUUCAGCGAGGGAGGACGAGCUCAACUGGUCGGCUUCAGUGACGCGGACCUAGCAGGUGACGUCGACACUCGCAGGAGUACCAGUGGCGUCAUCUUCUAUCUUGGAGAUAAUCCCAUCACUUGGCAGUCUUCAAAGCAAAAGGUAGUAGCUCUGUCAUCGUGUGAAGCCGAGUACAUCGCUGCUGCCACUGCAACUUGUCAGGCUUUGUGGCUUGCUCGUCUGGUGACUGACAUGGCAGGAGUGCAGCCCAGGACGCCUGAACUGAAGGUGGAUAACCAGGCUGCCAUCGCUCUAAGCAAGAACCCGGUCUUCCAUGAUAGAAGUAAACACAUUGACACCAAGUUUCACUUCAUCCGUGAGUGUGUGGAUCAAGGUCGGAUCAUCCUUCAGCAUACGUCAACGGAAACGCAGUUGGCUGACAUCCUGACAAAGCCGAUUGGAAAGACCCGGUUUCAUAAGCUGUGCUCCCUCAUAGGAAUUCAGCAGGUCGGCGAGAUCAUGGAGUAGAGGGGAGAAAUGUUGCAUACUCCUAGCUCUCGCCGAGUUUGACAAUUUUUGUCAGUUAAUUCAGAUUAUUCAGUUAGUGCAGUUCAGUCAGUUAGUGUUCGUCAGUCUGUUAGCUAAUUCAGUUUCAUUCAGAGUUAGCAGUGAGCGCACGCCGGAAAUAGCUGGACGUGUGCGCGUCUUUCGGAGCUCACCUGACGCACGCUGCGUUCGUGCGGGGUGGAGCGCGUCGUGCGCGGCAAGAACGUGGUCGUGGGAUGGCACGGCUGUAGAAGCGUUCGUGCCGUGCGUUUCGGCCUUCUUUGUUUUAGAUCAGAUAAGUCCUUCGAUAUAUGAAUAAACGGGUAACAGAAAAG
rnacentral:lncRNA from 1 species